GGUCAAGUGAAGAAGCGCAUACGGUGGAUGCCUUGGCAGUCAGAGGCGAUGAAAGACGUGGUAGCCUGCGAAAAGCUUCGGGGAGUCGGCAAACAGACUGUGAUCCGGAGAUGUCUGAAUGGGGGAACCCAGCCAUCAUAAGAUGGUUAUCUUGUACUGAAUACAUAGGUGCAAGAGGCGAACCAGGGGAACUGAAACAUCUAAGUACCCUGAGGAAAAGAAAUCAACCGAGAUUCCCUUAGUAGUGGCGAGCGAACGGGGACCAGCCCUUAAGUUGUAUUGAGAUUAGCGGAACGUUCUGGAAAGGACGGCCAUAGUGGGUGAUAGCCCUGUACGCGAAAAUCCCUUUGCAAUGAAAUCGAGUAGGACGGGGCACGAGAAACCUUGUCUGAAUAUGGGGGGACCAUCCUCCAAGGCUAAAUACUACUGACUGACCGAUAGUGAACCAGUACCGUGAGGGAAAGGCGAAAAGAACCGCGGAGAGCGGAGUGAAAUAGAUCCUGAAACCGUAUGCGUACAAGCAGUGGGAGCCCACUUUGUUGGGUGACUGCGUACCUUUUGUAUAAUGGGUCAGCGACUUAUUUUCAGUGGCGAGCUUAACCGAAUAGGGGAGGCGUAGCGAAAGCGAGUCUUAAUAGGGCGUCUAGUCGCUGGGAAUAGACCCGAAACCGGGCGAUCUAUCCAUGGGCAGGUUGAAGGUUGGGUAACACUAACUGGAGGACCGAACCGACUACCGUUGAAAAGUUAGCGGAUGACCUGUGGAUCGGAGUGAAAGGCUAAUCAAGCUCGGAGAUAGCUGGUUCUCCUCGAAAGCUAUUUAGGUAGCGCCUCAUGUAUCACUGUAGGGGGUAGAGCACUGUUUCGGCUAGGGGGUCAUCCCGACUUACCAAACCGAUGCAAACUCCGAAUACCUACAAGUGCCGAGCAUGGGAGACACACGGCGGGUGCUAACGUCCGUCGUGAAAAGGGAAACAACCCAGACCGUCAGCUAAGGUCCCAAAGUCAUGGUUAAGUGGGAAACGAUGUGGGAAGGCUUAGACAGCUAGGAGGUUGGCUUAGAAGCAGCCACCCUUUAAAGAAAGCGUAAUAGCUCACUAGUCGAGUCGGCCUGCGCGGAAGAUGUAACGGGGCUCAAACCAUGCACCGAAGCUACGGGUAUCAUCUUAUGAUGAUGCGGUAGAGGAGCGUUCUGUAAGCCUGUGAAGGUGAGUUGAGAAGCUUGCUGGAGGUAUCAGAAGUGCGAAUGCUGACAUGAGUAACGACAAUGGGUGUGAAAAACACCCACGCCGAAAGACCAAGGUUUCCUGCGCAACGUUAAUCGACGCAGGGUUAGUCGGUCCCUAAGGCGAGGCUGAAAAGCGUAGUCGAUGGAAAACAGGUUAAUAUUCCUGUACUUCUGGUUAUUGCGAUGGAGGGACGGAGAAGGCUAGGCCAGCCUGGCGUUGGUUGUCCAGGUUUAAGGUGGUAGGCUGAGAUCUUAGGUAAAUCCGGGAUCUCAAGGCCGAGAGCUGAUGACGAGUGUUCUUUAGAACACGAAGUGGUUGAUGCCAUGCUUCCAAGAAAAGCUUCUAAGCUUCAGGUAACCAGGAACCGUACCCCAAACCGACACAGGUGGUUGGGUAGAGAAUACCAAGGCGCUUGAGAGAACUCGGGUGAAGGAACUAGGCAAAAUGGCACCGUAACUUCGGGAGAAGGUGCGCCGGUGAGGGUGAAGCAUUUACUGCGUAAGCCCACGCCGGUCGAAGAUACCAGGCCGCUGCGACUGUUUAUUAAAAACACAGCACUCUGCAAACACGAAAGUGGACGUAUAGGGUGUGACGCCUGCCCGGUGCCGGAAGGUUAAUUGAUGGGGUUAGCGCAAGCGAAGCUCUUGAUCGAAGCCCCGGUAAACGGCGGCCGUAACUAUAACGGUCCUAAGGUAGCGAAAUUCCUUGUCGGGUAAGUUCCGACCUGCACGAAUGGCGUAACGAUGGCGGCGCUGUCUCCACCCGAGACUCAGUGAAAUUGAAAUCGCUGUGAAGAUGCAGUGUAUCCGCGGCUAGACGGAAAGACCCCGUGAACCUUUACUAUAGCUUUGCACUGGACUUUGAAUUUGCUUGUGUAGGAUAGGUGGGAGGCUUUGAAGCGUGGACGCCAGUCUGCGUGGAGCCAACCUUGAAAUACCACCCUGGCAACUUUGAGGUUCUAACUCAGGUCCGUUAUCCGGAUCGAGGACAGUGUAUGGUGGGUAGUUUGACUGGGGCGGUCUCCUCCUAAAGAGUAACGGAGGAGUACGAAGGUGCGCUCAGACCGGUCGGAAAUCGGUCGUAGAGUAUAAAGGCAAAAGCGCGCUUGACUGCGAGACAGACACGUCGAGCAGGUACGAAAGUAGGUCUUAGUGAUCCGGUGGUUCUGUAUGGAAGGGCCAUCGCUCAACGGAUAAAAGGUACUCCGGGGAUAACAGGCUGAUACCGCCCAAGAGUUCAUAUCGACGGCGGUGUUUGGCACCUCGAUGUCGGCUCAUCACAUCCUGGGGCUGAAGCCGGUCCCAAGGGUAUGGCUGUUCGCCAUUUAAAGUGGUACGCGAGCUGGGUUUAGAACGUCGUGAGACAGUUCGGUCCCUAUCUGCCGUGGACGUUUGAGAUUUGAGAGGGGCUGCUCCUAGUACGAGAGGACCGGAGUGGACGAACCUCUGGUGUUCCGGUUGUCACGCCAGUGGCAUUGCCGGGUAGCUAUGUUCGGAAAAGAUAACCGCUGAAAGCAUCUAAGCGGGAAACUUGCCUCAAGAUGAGAUCUCACUGGAACCUUGAGUUCCCUAAAGGGCCGUCGAAGACUACGACGUUGAUAGGUUGGGUGUGUAAGCGCUGUGAGGCGUUGAGCUAACCAAUACUAAUUGCCCGUGAGGCUUGACCAU
rnacentral:rRNA from 2 species